GCAGACUCACUCUGCACCCAGCCGCAGCCCCCGGCGGGUGCUUUUUCCGUCUGCCACAGGAACUUGCGGGGGCUGUGACCUCUGCCCUGUGAAGGGCAGCACAGCUACCCCGGUACACGGGU
ensembl:snoRNA Small nucleolar RNA SNORA77